AGGCCAAUGCCUACGAAUCUUCCCCUUACUAUGUCCCAGGGCGAAAGCUCUGAUGCAUAGACACAAAACAACUUUGCCGAUUGUGGGCGAGCGAAAAUCCGUGCCAGCUCCGCAAAUGACCCAGCACUUGGUACUUGCUUCUGUAACUGUUCGCUCAGCAGCGCUUCCCAGCUCCGCUCCGCACGCUGACAUUUUUGGACCAGCGGACUGCGGACCCAGCCAAGCUUUUGAAAACAUUUGCUGAAAAAAUUCAGCAGGUAGUUUAGAAAAAGAAAUACGGAAUGAGGCGGAGGGAAAGUGGCUAAAGGAAGAAAAAUAGAGGGGGGAAAAAAUAAAGGGGGGAAAAAAAAAAAAAAAAAAAAAAAAAAAAAAAAAAAAAAAAAAAAAAAAAAGAGGAAGGCUAAGAAGCAGUACCAGCUGAGCGGAACUUGCGAGCCGCCAGCACCGGGCGGGCAGAGCCGUCCCACGGCCCCGGGCUGGGCACCGGCGGCGCCCCCGCAGCCUGUCGCUGCACCGACUGUCCCCUACCGAGCGCGGCGGGGACGAGUCCUUCCUUCCCCAGAAAGUUCUCGCCCCCCAAAGCCGUCCCGCGGCCCCGGGCGGGGCACCGGCGGCGCCCCCGCAGCCUGUCGCUGCACCGACUGUCCCCUACCGAGCGCGGCGGGGACGAGUCCUUCCUUCCCCAGAAAGUUCUCGCCCCCCAAACCAUUGCAGUACACCAAGUGCGUGGGUUGGAAUUCAUUUGGUUCCCCCGCUCUUUAGCUGUCGGCGUUGCAGGGUCCACGGGCGCUGGAGCCUGCCCCGCUGUCCCCAGCGCCCGCUCUCCGGGGACCGAGGAGGGGCAGCACCAUUCGCAGCACAGCGAAUUUCCCCGGCGCUCGCUGUGCCGUGCCGCUCCCAUUGGCCGUGCGGCCGGCAGGGAGCGACGGGAGGCGGAGAGGGAGCUGCCAGCAGCAGACAGGCAGGCAGGCACCGGGCGAGCGCGUAGACAGGCGCACGGCAGGCAGAGGCUGCUGGGCCUUUGUCCGCCCAUCCUCCUCCUCCUCCUCCGUGCCCACCCGCUGCACCGCGGAGGGGGCUCGGCAGAGACACAAGCGGGCUGACCCAGAGCUGAGUUUCACCCAUCCUCCGCCCCCCGCUCUCUCUCCCUCCGCUGCAUCGCUGCCCAUGAGCUAGAGCGGCAGCCGGCUCCGGCAGGCGGGGGCAGACGCCGACCGCAGCUCCCGGCACCCCCCCCCCCCCCCCCCCCCCCCCCCCCCCCCCCCCCCCCCCCCCCCCCCCCCCCCCCCCCCCCCCCCCC
rnacentral:lncRNA from 12 species